UAUGGACAACAGGGGGCGCUGUUUCAGUGUCUAAUGUUGAGGGUGAAGGUCUGGAAAACCCAUGGUGGCCGGGGAGAGGCACAGCCAGGCACAGGCUGCUUCAGGCCACACCUCUUUUCAUUUAACCCUUUUUAAGGUUAACGGUGUGAGCUAUCCCCGCCAACCACAGGUCUCGCGUCUCAUUUUUCCCAAGAUUAACAGCACUGUUUGUAUGUAGAUGGUCUGCUGGCACAUUUGACUAUCUAAGUACUGCAGGUAAUUAGUCUGAGAACCAAGAUGGAAGUGGUAUAGUUAACCUAUUUUACAGAAACCCUUCAGAAAUAACACCCUUUUAGAUAUUGUAUUCUUAAUAUUUAUUAAGACAGUUAAAGCUCUUGUAUCUGCCAUUCGGUUAACAAGCCCACUGUGGUCGCUGGCACAAUUCUAAAGUAUCAGUACAAAAAUAAAAAAAAUUGCAGUAAGUAAUAGUGUUUUUAGAUUUGUAUAAAACUAAAAAUAAAAGCAUUGUGCUAGUUCUUAAGCCUGCCUACAAAGUGGCAUGCUAUAUUAAUCUUUCUGCUUGUUCCACAAAAGUUUACCUAACCAUCUCUUGUGUUGUAUCGAAUAUCUGACUUCAUCCUGCUGUGUGUGUGGAAGGGUUGACGCAACUUUAAAAAAUAUUACGAUUCUGUGAUUCAGCCGGUGUGAGAGCGCGGUUUCCCCGCGCCGGUUCUCAGGUAGCCGGUGUGAGAGCGCGGUUUCCCCGCGCCGGUUCUCAGGUAGCCGGUGUGAGAGCGCGGUUUCCCCGCGCCGGUUCUCAGGUAGCCGGUGUGAGCGCGCGGUUUCCCCGCGCCGGUUCUCAGGUAGCCGGUGU